GAGAGAUGCUCACCAAACAAGAAAGCCAACCCUGUCCUCUGCCCAGUGGUUCCAGGAUCGGCUCAUAAUUGCUCCAUGCCCCAUGUGAAAGGACAACUGCUUCUCCCUUAGUUUCUGAAUUUCAGGGCCAGAAGAGGGCAAACGCAAUGUCAAAUCAGUUUCAGAAGCAUCUGCCAUAUAUGACAUUUAGGAGUAAAGAGCCCUGCCUGAGCCUCCUCCCCGUGGAUUUUCCUGCUGUGUUCGCACUGUGUGCUGUGCUGCCAUGGGUGUUUCUCCCAUCGACCCGCUCAUCGCACCGCCCGUGAGUUGUCCUUCAUGGUCGCACUGCAGCCUCAGGAGCUUUACAAUGUCUGGGACACAGUAGAGGUCAAUGAAGUUCUGUUGAGCACCAUAUCCAACCCCAGUGCACCUGCUUGCUCCACCGGGCUUCCCCGAGACCUGCCCCACAAAGUGCCAGGGAGACUGUUCGCACCGCGCUUACCCGCCACCCAAUCUGGGCAUUCUGGUUUGGUGAGCGACAGGAGACCCAAGAAGAGCCCUGACUGAGCCCGUUUCUCCCAGCUGCAUCCCUGUGCAAAGGACGGGGAAGUCCUCUCUGCAACCCUGUGAAUAAGCACAGGUCUCUCACUGCUAGACUGGCACACGAGACAAUCUGAUGCUUUUUGCUGCAUCCCUCUGCUACGAUGAACCCAGG
rnacentral:lncRNA from 1 species